CACGUAGGUGGCGAGCGUUAUUCGGAUUCACUGGGCGUAAAGGGUCCGCAGGGGGCCUGCCAAGUCUGUCGUGAAAACCCGGGGCUCAACCCCGGGCCUGCGGUGGAUACUGGCGGGCUCGAGUGCGCGAUGGGCAGACGGAACACCUGGUGUAGCGGUGGAAUGCGUGGAUAUCAGGUGGAACACCGAUGGCGAAGGCGGUCUGCUGGCGCGUCACUGACCCUCAUGGACGAAAGCGUGGGUAGCGAACAGGAUUAGAUACC
rnacentral:rRNA from 1 species